AACGCGAAGAACCUUACCCAGGCUCGAAAUGUAAUGGACGAUAUCAGAGAUGGUAUUUUCCGCAAGGACCGUUAUAUAGGUGCUGCAUGGCUGUCGUCAGCUCGUGCCGUGAGGUGUUGGGUUAAGUCCCGCAACGAGCGCAACCCUUAUCAUUAGUUGCCAACAUGAAAGAUGGGGACUCUAAUGAGACUGCCUAGGUUAACUAGGAGGAAGGUGAGGAUGACGUCAAGUCCGCAUGGCCUUUAUGUCUGGGGCUACACACGUGCUACAAUGGUCGGUACAGAAGGCAGCAAGACCGCAAGGUGGAGCAAAUCCGUAAAGCCGAUCACAGUUCAGAUUGUAGUCUGCAACUCGACUACAUGAAGUUGGAAUUGCUAGUAAUGACGUGUCAGCAACAACGUCGUGAAUACGUUCCCGGGCCUUGUA
rnacentral:rRNA from 1 species